UACGUAGGGGGCAAGCGUUGUUCGGAGUUAUUGGGCGUAAAGCGCUCGCAGGUGGUUCGUUGCGUCGUGCGUGAAAGACCCCGGCUCAACUGGGGAGGGUCGUGCGAUACGGGCGAACUGGAGGCCAGUAGGGGGAUGCGGAAUUCCGGGUGUAGUGGUGGAAUGCGUAGAGAUCCGGAGGAACACCAGCGGCGAAGGCGGCAUCCUGGACUGGUCCUGACACUCAGGAGCGAAAGCGUGGGGAGCGAUCCGG
rnacentral:rRNA from 1 species